rnacentral:rRNA from 1 species
GACAGAGGGUGCAAACGUUGUUCGGAAUUACUGGGCGUAAAGCGCGUGUAGGCGGUUUGGUAAGUCGGAUGUGAAAGCCCCGGGCUCAACCCGGGAAGUGCACUCGAUACUGCCAAGCUAGAGUAUCGGAGAGGUUGGUGGAAUUCUCGGUGUAGAGGUGAAAUUCGUAGAUAUCGGGAGGAACACCGGUGGCGAAGGCGGCGACCUGGGUCGAUACUGACGCUGAGGUGCGAAAGCGUGGGGAGCAAACAGG